rnacentral:rRNA from 1 species
CCUACGGGAGGCAGCAGUGGGGAAUAUUGGACAAUGGGCGAAAGCCUGAUCCAGCAAUUCCGCGUGUGUGAAGAAGGCCUUCGGGUUGUAAAGCACUUUAGUUGGGGAAGAAACAGCUUGGCCACACCAAGCCUUGACGGUACCCAAAGAAUAAGCACCGGCUAACUCUGUGCCAGCAGCCGCGGUAAUACAGAGGGUGCAAGCGUUAAUCGGAUUUACUGGGCGUAAAGGGUGCGUAGGUGGUUUUGUAAGUCGGAUGUGAAAGCCUGGGGCUCAACCUCAGAAUUGCACUCGAUACUGCAAGACUAGAGUUCGGUAGAGGGCGGCGGAAUUCCCGGUGUAGCGGUGAAAUGCGUAGAUAUCGGGAGGAACAUCAAUGGCGAAGGCAGCCGCCUGGGCCUGAACUGACACUGAGGCACGAAAGCGUGGGUAGCAAACAGGAUUAGAUACCCUGGUAGUCCACGCUGUAAACGAUGAGAACUUGACGUUGGUUCGUUUUACGAAUCGGUGUCGCAGCUAACGCGAUAAGUUCUCCGCCUGGGGAGUACGGCCGCAAAGGUUGAAACUUAAAUGAAUUGAGGCUGAGACGNGCGAGACGACGACGAGGGAGAG